rnacentral:rRNA from 1 species
GAUGAACGCUGGCGGCGUGCCUAAUACAUGCAAGUCGAGCGAACGGACGAGAAGCUUGCUUUUCUGAUGUUAGCGGCGGACGGGUGAGUAACACGUGGAUAACCUACCUAUAAGACUGGGAUAUCUUCGGGAAACCGGCGCUAAUACCGUAUAAUAUUUUGAACCGCAUGGUUCAAAAGUGAAAGACGGUCUUGCUGUCACUUAUAGAUGGUUCCGCGCUGCUUUAGCUAGUUGGUAAGGUCACGGCUUACCACGGCAACGAUGCAUAGACGACCUGAGAGGGGGAUAGGAGACAUGAGAACGGAGACACGGUCAUUAGGACUAAGGGAGGCAGCAGUAGGAAAUCGGACGCAAUAGGGGGAAGCAUGGCGGAGAGGGGGCGAGUGAGAGAUGAAGAUCUUGGGAUCGGAAAGCUCUGUUAUUGGGGAAGAACAUAUGUGGAAGUAACUGUGCACAGCGUGACGGUACCGGGUCAGAAAGCAACGGCUAACUACGUG